rnacentral:rRNA from 1 species
UGCAAGUCGAACGGUGAAGCAGAGCUUGCUCUGUGGAUCAGUGGCGAACGGGUGAGUAACACGUGAGCAACCUGCCCCUGACUCUGGGAUAAGCGCUGGAAACGGCGUCUAAUACUGGAUAUGUGACGUGGCCGCAUGGUCUGCGUCUGGAAAGAAUUUCGGUUGGGGAUGGGCUCGCGGCCUAUCAGCUUGUUGGUGAGGUAAUGGCUCACCAAGGCGUCGACGGGUAGCCGGCCUGAGAGGGUGACCGGCCACACUGGGACUGAGACACGGCCCAGACUCCUACGGGAGGCAGCAGUGGGGAAUAUUGCACAAUGGGCGAAAGCCUGAUGCAGCAACGCCGCGUGAGGGAUGACGGCCUUCGGGUUGUAAACCUCUUUUAGCAGGGAAGAAGCGAAAGUGACGGUACCUGCAGAAAAAGCGCCGGCUAACUACGUGCCAGCAGCCGCGGUAAUACGUAGGGCGCAAGCGUUAUCCGGAAUUAUUGGGCGUAAAGAGCUCGUAGGCGGUUUGUCGCGUCUGCUGUGAAAUCCGGAGGCUCAACCUCCGGCCUGCAGUGGGUACGGGCAGACUAGAGUGCGGUAGGGGAGAUUGGAAUUCCUGGUGUAGCGGUGGAAUGCGCAGAUAUCAGGAGGAACACCGAUGGCGAAGGCAGAUCUCUGGGCCGUAACUGACGCUGAGGAGCGAAAGGGUGGGGAGCAAACAGGCUUAGAUACCCUGGUAGUCCACCCCGUAAACGUUGGGAACUAGUUGUGGGGUCCAUUCCACGGAUUCCGUGACGCAGCUAACGCAUUAA